GGUGCGGCAGGCGUCAGGCGGCAGGACCGCACGAGAGAAAGAGGUGAGGCGUCGUUUACUUCUCCUGUUCAUUGCGAUUGGCGAUUGGUGAGGUCCACAGUGGGAGGCGGUUCAAGAUUGAGAACCGGCCAACUUUUUGGGCCUAGGGGCCCUGAAAAUUGGGGGCCCUGUGCAGGCACGCUGGCCGCAUGCCCCUAG
rnacentral:lncRNA from 2 species